rnacentral:rRNA from 1 species
GUGCCAGCCGCCGCGGUAAUACCGGCAGCACGAGUGAUGGCCGAUAUUAUUGGGCCUAAAGCGUCCGUAGCUGGCCGGACAAGUCCGUUGGGAAAUCCACCCGCUUAACGGGUGGGCGUCCAGCGGAAACUGUCCGGCUUGGAGCCGGAAGACCUGAGGGGUACGUCCGGGGUAGGAGUGAAAUCCCGUAAUCCUGGACGGACCGCCGGUGGCGAAAGCACUUCGAGAAAACGGGUCCGACAGUGAGGGACGAAAGCUAAGAUCGCGAACCGGAUUAGAUACCCGGGUAGUCC